rnacentral:tRNA from 1 species
ACGGGUCUAGCUCAGUUGGUAGAGCAUCGGUCUCCAAAACCGAGUGUCGGGAGUUCGAGUCUCUCGACCCGUGC